UACGGAGGGUGCAAGCGUUAUCCGGAUUCACUGGGUUUAAAGGGUGCGUAGGAGGGCAGGUAAGUCAGUGGUGAAAUCUCCGAGCUUAACUCGGAAACUGCCGUUGAUACUAUUUGUCUUGAAUACCGUGGAGGUGAGCGGAAUAUGUCAUGUAGCGGUGAAAUGCUUAGAUAUGACAUAGAACACCAAUUGCGAAGGCAGCUCACUACACGAGCAUUGACUCUGAGGCACGAAAGCGUGGGGAUCAAACAGG
rnacentral:rRNA from 1 species